rnacentral:rRNA from 1 species
UACGGAGGGUGCGAGCGUUAAUCGGAAUUACUGGGCGUAAAGCGUACGUAGGUGGUUUGGUAAGUCGGAUGUGAAAUCCCCGGGCUCAACCUGGGAAUUGCAUUCGAAACUGCCUCACUAGAGUCUAGCAGAGGGAUGGGGAAUUCCGGGUGUAGCGGUGAAAUGCGUAGAGAUCCGGAGGAACAUCAGUGGCGAAGGCGCCAUCCUGGGCUAAGACUGACGCUGAGGUACGAAAGCGUGGGGAGCAAACAGG